rnacentral:misc_RNA from 1 species
AACGGGAGGUUUUAUGCAGGUUAUUCCUGGCUUUUCUAUGACCAUUAAAAUUAUGAAUUUUAUUGGUGAAUUGUUAAAUUAUAUUCGUAGGUACUGUGUUAAGCUGAUCUGCUAAUUAUGAUUCUAGUUUGAACUCAAUUUUGACUGCUGAAAUUAUCAUCUUUCCUGGAGAUUCAUGUCUGUUUAACAUUCAUUUUUUUUAUGUGAAUAAUAUUAUACUUGCUAAUAGAUUUUACAAAGUUCAUAGCAUAGAUUUCUCAUGUAUUAACUUCAUGUGUUUGUAACAUAACUAACAAAGGUUUGG